CUGCUUGUUCUGCAGCACAUGUACCAAAUCUGGAACAAUACAGAGAAAAUCUUUAUGAUGCAUGCUCAAGAUUGACACACAAAUUCAUGAAGUGUUCCAUUUCCUU